UGAGCCACCGCACCUGGCUGCAACUACAAGUUUCUAAGAAUUAAAUAAUUCUACAAGUAGAAUGCUGAACCCAGCCAUCAUAUAAGAAAAUUUUUAAAAAGGCUUCAACACUCUGUGUGCAUUCAGAUGGCACUUCCUUUUUUUUUUUUUUUUUUUUGAGACGGAGUCUCAGGUUCAAGCGAUUCUCCUGCCUCAGCCACCUGAGUAGCUGGAAUUACAGGCACUCACCACCACACCCGGCUAAUUUUUGUAUUUUCAGUAGAGAUGGGGUUUUACCGUGUUGGCCAGGCUGGUCUCAAACUCCUGACCUCAAAGUGCUGGGAUUACAGGUGUGAGCCACUGCACCCGGCCCUGACAGCACUUCUUAACAAAUUACCAGAUGCCCUUUCUCUCUCCUGCGACGGCGGGAUGCAGUCAACUCCAGGCCACACUCACUGGGCACCUACCCUGUGGCUGGUGCUGGGCAGGCAGAGCCCAGCAGGACGUGGACUAAGCUGCUGCUGGCGAGCCUCCCCGGCGCACAUCCAACAACAAAUGCCAAAGCCCUUUCGGCCACACAGGUUUGGAGUCCAAUUACCGUGGACAGCGUCAGAGCCAAACUCAGCGUGAUUUGGCACAAAUGAAGCCAAGAGGACAGGACAGGCCCUGAGCGGCAGCCUUCCCGACCCAAGGGAUGAACUGUCACUAAAAUAUGAACCCAGCACUUGGGGGCCUCAGCUGCCAGCCAAGCCGCGGAUCCUCAGCUUGUGGUCACAUAAAGCCUUUGCCUGAGCAGAUCCACCCAGGCCAAGCCCCCUGGCCCCUGACGGGUUUCUGGGGCAUCUCUGUACUAAGGCUUACAGUUCCUCCUUUCCUCACACAGUAAUGGGCAAACUGGAGUCUUUUGUGAACUGGCAUACAAAAAAGACAGCAAAGGGCCAGGCGUGGUGGCUCACGCCUGCAAUCCCAGCACUUUGGGAGACUGAGGCAAGAGGACUGCUUGAGCCCAGGAGAUUCAAGACCAGUCUGGGCAACACAGAGAGACCCCAUCUCUACAAAAUAAAAAGUAGAAAAUUAGCCAGGCAUGGUGGCACACGCCUGUAAUCCCAGCUACUUGGGAGGCUGAGGUGGGAAGAUCACUUGAACCUGGGAGAUGGAGGCUGCAGUGAGCUAUGAUCACACCACUGCACUCAAGCCUGGGUGACAGAACAAGACCCUGUCUCAGAAACAAAAACAGUCCAGGUGCGGUGGCUUAUGCCUGUAAUCCUAGCAAUUUGGGAGGCUGAGGUGGGUGGAUCACGAGGUCAAGAGAUAGAGACCAGCCUGGCCAACAUGGUGAAACCCCGUCUCUACUAAAAAUACAAAAAUCAGCUGGGUGUGGUGACGUGCGCCUGUAGUCCCAGUUACUUGGGAGGCUGAGACAGGAGAAUUGCUUGAACCUGGGAGGCAGAGGUUGCAGUGAGCUGAGAUGGCACCACUGCACUCCAGCCUGGACGACAGAGCAAGACUCCAUCUCAAAAAAAAAAAAGAAAAGAAACAGGCCACUGACAAAAGGACAAAUCCUGUACGAUUCCACUUCUGUGGGGUUCCCAGAAGAGACGACUUAUAGAGACAAAGUAGAACAGAGGUUCCCAGAGGCCGUGGAAGGGAGGAAGCGGAAGUGAGUGGUGAUGGGUUCAGAGCUUGUGUUAGGGGUGUGGGACUGGACACGGGUUCACGGCACUGUGAACGCACUGGAUGCCCGGAACUAUACACUAACGACCAACGAACAGUGAAACUGACCAAUGUGUGUCAGGAAUAUCUCACCAGUUACAGGAAGCCCCCAAAACUAGAAACCCCUACCCCUCUACUCUGGGCAGGGGGUUUUCAUUCCUUCGGGAGGAGCUGAGGCAGCCUCACACCCAUAGCACAGUGAGCAUGAAACUGUAAGCCUGGCACCGUGCCAUCUGCCAUCUGCACAGAGAAUAUGUGAAUGACCCGGCAGAGCGCCCGUGGGGUGGGCCUGCCUCCUGAGACCCUGGUGCGCACUCUCUGCUGCUCUGAGCUUUGAUGAAGCUGUUCUUCACCAUGAGAAUGUACUACCUGAAUGAAUUCAGAGGCUGGGUGUGGUGGCUCACGCCCGUAAUCCCAAUACUCUGGGAGGCUGAGGCAGGAGGAUUACUUGAGCCCAGGAGGUCAAGACCAGCCUGGGCAACACAGGGAGACUGCCUCUCAGAAAACACACACAGAGAGAAGGAAAAGCCACAGAGCUGGGCUCAAAUGCCCAACCUGCUACUUAUUCCAGUAGCCACGCGACUUUGGGCAAGGCACUCGCUCUCUCUGAACAGGCUUCUCUCUCUUAGAACAAACGAAAUCCCACAGCCUCCCAGGGCUGCUGUGAGAAUCAGGCAGCGCGGGAGGCGCAGGCAGCGCGGGA
rnacentral:lncRNA from 10 species